UGGUAAACCGGUGACGUGCA
rnacentral:miRNA from 14 species